rnacentral:tRNA from 4 species
GCCAGCGUAGCUCAGUCGGUAGAGCAGCUGAUUCGUAAUCAGCAGGUCGGAGGUUCGAUCCCUCUCGCUGGCU